rnacentral:snRNA from 1 species
AGCUUUUUGCAGUGGCAGUAUUAUAGCCAAUGAGGUUUGUCCAAGGUUCAAUUAUUGCUAAUUGAAAACUUCUAGAUUGGAAGAGUCC